UACGGAGGGGGCAAGCGUUGUUCGGAAUUAUUGGGCGUAAAGGGCGCGUAGGCGGUGCGGUAAGUCUGAUGUGAAAUCUCCGGGCUCAACUCGGAGUCUGCAUCAGAAACUGCCGUGCUUGAGUGUGGGAGAGGUGAGUGGAAUCCCGGUGUAGCGGUGAAAUGCGUAGAUAUCGGGAGGAACACCUGUGGCGAAAGCGGCUCACUGGACCACAACUAGAGC
rnacentral:rRNA from 1 species